rnacentral:piRNA from 1 species
UGUCAUGUUGUGAUGAUUGUUGCUUUCUU